ACAACUGAAUUGCUUUUUAUUAAACGUCCAAAGGAAAUAAUGCUCUCAGGGAAAAUACUCAACCUUUGAGCUUUCCAGUGCCAAAGAUUAGUGUACUAAAAUCAGUCUGUUAAAUGAGCUGUUAUCUUCUCAGCCUUAGACCUGACCACACAGAUGUCUGCAGUGUGACUGUCUGCCAGCACUCAUGAUGUAAUACCCUUUCCUGAAGGUGUAAAUGAUAAAAACAGAGUUUUUAUAUAGCGGGUUUCCAUACUGUAUUAGUGGGAGCAGAGGUUCUGCUUGAUAUAACAAGACAGUAGUUUAGGGAAUGUAUUUCCAUGAGUAAAAAAAGAUGUCUUGAAUGUCAAGGAUUUCUCAUAUCUGUUUGAACCCAUUUGGGCAUUACUGAGGAUGGAUCUGGAGCAACACUGUGGCUGUUCUGGGGGAAGACAGGAACCUGUUCACCUAAACAGUCUGAGACAGAGAAGCCAAUUUUGCUACUGCUUCGAACAGGUGCAAGGGCAGUCUCUGAGAUGCUGCAGUUCCUAAAGGAAUUCUCCAGGAAUUUGUCGUGCUAAUUUGCAUCCCAGGUUCUAGCAGGGAAUGCACGCCUCUCCCCAAAACCAGGCUUCAUAAGGAAUGUUAUUUCUGCCCUCUCGUGGCCACGGAACAUUUUGCAGUUUUGCAUCGAAG
rnacentral:lncRNA from 1 species